AUUGAACGCUGGCGGCAUGCCUUACACAUGCAAGUCGAACGGUAACAGGUCUUCGGAUGCUGACGAGUGGCGCACGGGUGAGUAAUACAUCGGAACGUGCCCGAUCGUGGGGGAUAACGAAGCGAAAGCUUUGCUAAUACCGCAUACGAUCUACGGAUGAAAGCAGGGGACCGCAAGGCCUUGCGCGAACGGAGCGGCCGAUGGCAGAUUAGGUAGUUGGUGGGAUAAAAGCUUACCAAGCCGACGAUCUGUAGCUGGUCUGAGAGGACGACCAGCCACACUGGGACUGAGACACGGCCCAGACUCCUACGGGAGGCAGCAGUGGGGAAUUUUGGACAAUGGGCGAAAGCCUGAUCCAGUCAUGCCGCGUGCAGGAUGAAGGCCUUCGGGUUGUAAACUGCUUUUGUACGGAACGAAAAGACUCUGGUUAAUACCUGGGGUCCAUGACGGUACCGUAAGAAUAAGCACCGGCUAACUACGUG
rnacentral:rRNA from 1 species